rnacentral:rRNA from 1 species
UACGAAGGGGGCGAGCGUUGUUCGGAUUUACUGGGCGUAAAGGGCGCGUAGGCGGCCUUGUCAGUCAGGCGUGAAAUCCCCGGGCUCAACCUGGGAACUGCAUUUGUGACUGCACAGCUGGAGUGCGGCAGAGGGGGAUGGAAUUCCGCGUGUAGCAGUGAAAUGCGUAGAUAUGCGGAGGAACACCGAUGGCGAAGGCAAUCCCCUGGGCCUGCACUGACGCUCAUGCACGAAAGCGUGGGGAGCAAACAGG